AGUAUCUUCUCUCUUCAGAGCACAGAGUCCUGGGCCUCCCAUGACAACACUCAGACAGGAAGGCUCUAAGACCAUGAUGAAGCCUGUCCCUGGCUCUGCAUCUGCCCACCUCUGCCAUCCCUGCUGCUGACUCUGCUGCUGGAAUUCCCCAAUGCUACCUCUCAAUGGACAACAAAUGUGGGAAAAUAUGAAAUUAUAAAGCAAG